GAGGAUUAAGCAUUUGGCUUGUAAGUCAUCCUCAUAGUGUCUAUCAUAAUUUUGACACUCCUCAUUUGGAGCUAGUUUCGUAGGAGGUACAUGAGGAGGGGAUUGCUUAAGCACAUACAAUAUGUCUUUCACCUUUGAGACAUUCUCAAUGUGGUGAUACCAAGCAAGGAAACGUUGGCCCCUAAGGCCCCUUUUGUCAAGUAUAAUGGUGGGUGUAAUUUUAGGCAUGUCGUUAACUACAUAACAUAACAGAAAUCGUAUUAGAUUGUUGUUUUAAAACUACUUGAUUGGGUCUUAAACCAAAUAGUACCACCCACUAUUUUUGGCAAAUUCCACAUCCCUCAAUGGAAUUCGAGAGUUGUGUUGAACUCUUAGCGGGGUAUAGGAGACUCACCAUUACCAAGCCCACCUCAGAAUUAUAUCAUUUUGGUUAGCAACAAUAAUGAUGAGAGGAUAACUCUUAGCCAUUUACAACUUUUGUAAUUACCCAUCUGUUUUGGCCUCUAGAGAAUGAUUGCCUCAUAAUUAUAUCAUUUUGGCACCAUUUCACUUAGUUAAGUCAUUCCCACCAUGCUAGUUAAUGUAGGGGUUCAAGCACAACCUCAGAAUUAUAUCAUGUUGGUCAUACUCGUUGUCUACACUUACUUCAUCAUAUAUAUUUAUGGACUCCUCCUGGAUGUAAGCACAUACUUUGAACUUUCCCAUUAUAGGGUGAAGCGGUGUAUGAGUCACAAACGAUUGGAGCCCACCACGGUGGAAGGCCUAUGAAGAGAUGUUCAAAACAUCUCUUGCUUAUCAACUUAAUAUUCGUUUUGUCGAGGGAGUAGUGUUGGGCUACAUUAAAUUUAUUUUAAUCUUAUUAAAAGAACUUGGGCCUAUCACAACCAUUGGUCCAAGUUAAUAUGAAUUAAUAGUAUAUAAUACUCCUACUAUUUCGAUGAAACAAGCGAGACUAUAUGGAACUACUAACGAAU
rnacentral:lncRNA from 1 species